AUCAGAUUCUGAAACUUGCUUCUAAUAUACCCGAAACUAAAAAAGGUAGUUCUAAUUUUUGAUAUUUUUCAUCCAAAAAUUCCAGAAAAUUAGAAAAUAGAACGGAGCGAUGUGAGAGGCGCCACCUACACACCCAGAGAGAGGUACGGUUGUGGUAUUGAAAGAGAAGAGUUUGUGUUUAGAUGAUCCAAAAACCUAUCAUCUAUAGAGGUAUUUAUAUGUGCAGAGAGACUUGUGUGCUACUCUUUCUCAUAAUUAAAUAAUCUGAAACAAAAUCAGAUUAAAAUUUUCAAGCUAUUAUAUUUCAUAAAUAAUCUGAAACAAAAUCAGAUUCUGACACUUGCUUCUAAUAUACCCAAAACUAAAAAAGGUAGUUUUAAUUUUUGAUAUUUUUCAUCCAAAAAUUCCAGAAAAUUAGAAAAAUAGAACGGAGCGAUGCGAGAGGCGCCACAUACACGCCCCUCGCUUCUCCUUUAUAUAAGUAUAUUGAUUGUGUUAAUAAGGCUUACUAUGUCAUUACUUUAGUCAACAUCAUUUUCUUCAAAAACUCCAAUUAUGGCUUUUCCAAUUCUUGGUCAUAUUAUUGAAUUGGAACCAGUAAUAUCUAGUCCAUUGAAGAAGAUGAGAGAUGUGAGUAGUUAAAAGAAAAGGUUGGAGGUAGACAAAUACAGGAAGAUGGGAAAGAGGAGAACAAAGAAAAAUAACCGUCUUGAUAAUUAAAAUAAAGUUACAAUAUGACCUCUUAUUAGUUUAGGUCAGAUGUAGUCAAGUUUAGGUUUUGACUAUGGUAAUUAUCAAUUAGGUCACCUAUUUCGUUCGAAUAUAUCAAGCGGGUCACUGACAAAUUCUUGGUCUCGUUUGCAUCACUAAUUUAAAAAAGUUACAUUUUGUUAAUUUAAAAAAAAAUUAAAUAUGUAAAAAGUUGAAUAUUGAAGUUUUUCUAAGUAUAUCCCAUCUUUCUUAGUACUUUGUUUUUUCUAACCAAACAUGUACUUGUGUUCCUUUUUCAAUUAAAUUCAACCUCUAUUCGUGUCAAUUUCUUUGAUCUAUUUUUUGAACUUAAAGCAUCUCCAAGAGACUCUUAAAUGAGCUCUUAAAUUGAAAUUUGAGGAGGGAGAAAGAAAUUUUUGCUCCAAGAGACUCUUAGUAGCUCUUCAUAUCACUAAGAGCUUCUUGUUUCUCUCUCCUCUCUCCUCAAAGUUAAGAGCCACUACAAAAAUCUUAACUUAUUUUUUACAGUAAAAUAUCCAUUCCUUCCAAUUACAUUUGAUUUUGUGUCAUAUACAAGUCCAAACAAGAAUAAAAUAUUAACUUGAGAACAAGUAUAAAGAAUAUUGUUGGAGUUGAGACUCUUAAAUUUGUAUUCACCUCAAAUCCCAAUCAAAUUCAUGUCAUAUAAUUUAACAAAAAACAUUUAUUUUGACCUAACUUUGCAAAAAUUAAUCAAGAUGUAAUUUAAUUUGAAAUGAGUAGUGCAAAUGAGACCAAAAAUAUGUCGGUGAUUUCAUUAACAAGUGGCCUAAUUGAUAAAUAACUCAUUUUGUAUAUAUGUGAACAAACGCUAAACUCUGAUGGAUUGAAGUUACACUUUGCCGUUAUUA
rnacentral:lncRNA from 1 species